rnacentral:rRNA from 1 species
UACGGAGGGUGCAAGCGUUAAUCGGAAUUACUGGGCGUAAAGGGCGCGUAGGUGGCCUUGUUAGUCAGACGUGAAAUCCCCAAGCUUAACUUGGGAACUGCGUCUGAUACUGCAAGGCUUGAGUUCGGGAGAGGGAUGUGGAAUUCCAGGUGUAGCGGUGAAAUGCGUAGAUAUCUGGAGGAACACCGGUGGCGAAGGCGGCAUCCUGGACCGAAACUGACACUGAGGCGCGAAAGCUAGGGGAGCAAACGGG